AAUUUCAAUCUGGUAAACAUAUGCUGGCACUUGAAGCAAUAUUUUUGGCGCGUCACCAAGCGGUUGGUUGAUAGUUUACUAUAACUUUGGACAUUGGGUAACAACGAGGGACGAAAAUAAUCUUCUAACGAGAUUCAUCGAAGAAUAUAGAAGUGAAGGAAACUUAAAUAACGAUAUGAAAUAAACACUUAUUAAUAACGGG